GCCCUGUGAUGCGACGGGCGUCGCAGUCCGCUUGUCGAGCGGAUGAGAGGGGUUCGAGUCCCCUACGGGGCG
rnacentral:tRNA from 1 species